UGGUUUGAACCUCUUUUGGGAGAAAAUGAAUAUAAGUGUUGUCUAUACACUCCUAAUCCAUCUUUAACUCUUAUAAUUAGUCAAAUGCAUUUGAUUAGGACAUAUUUUGACCAUAGAAACACUAAAAAUAUAUUGACUGCUUCUAUGCAAUGUUUUUGUUGGUUUUAGCUCAUUUUGGGAGAAAAUGGGUAUAAGUGUUGUCUAAACACUCCUAAUCCAUCUUUAACACUUAUAAUUAGUCAAAUGCAUUGGAUUGUGACACAUUUUGACCAUAAAAACAAUAACAAAACUGUUUACUGCUUUUAAGCAAUUUUUUUGUUUGUUUUAGCCUCUUUUGGUAGAAAAUGGGUAUAAGUGUUGUAUGAACACUCCUAAUCCAUCUGUAACUCUUAUAAUUAGUCAAAGGCUUUUGAUUGUGACACAUUUUGACCAUAGAAACACUAACAAACCUAUUUACUGCUUCUAAGCAAUUUUUUGUUGGUUCUAGCCGCUUGUGGGAGAAAAUGGGUAUAAGUGUUGUCUAAACACUCUUAAUCCAUCUUUAACUCUUAUAAUUAGUCAAAUGCAUUGGAUUGUGACACAUUUUGACCAUCAAAACACUAACAGAACUGUUUACUGCUUCUAAGCAAUUUUUUGUUGGUUUUAGCCUCUUUUGGGAGAAAAUAGAUAUAAGUGUUGUCUAAACACUCCUAAUCCAUCUCUAACUCUUAUAAUUAGUCAAAUGCAUUGGAUUGUGACACAGUUUGACCACAUAAA
rnacentral:sRNA from 1 species